rnacentral:rRNA from 1 species
AGCAGUCGAGCGGAGUUGCUGAGAGUGCUUGCACCUCUGAUACUUAGCGGCGGACGGGUGAGUAACACGUGGGUAACCUGCCUGUAAGACUGGGAUAACAUUCGGAAACGAAUGCUAAUACCGGAUACGCGAUAUGGUCGCAUGACUGAAUCGGGAAAGAUGGAGCAAUCUAUCACUUACAGAUGGACCCGCGGCGCAUUAGCUAGUUGGUGAGGUAACGGCUCACCAAGGCGACGAUGCGUAGCCGACCUGAGAGGGUGAUCGGCCACACUGGGACUGAGACACGGCCCAGACUCCUACGGGAGGCAGCAGUAGGGAAUCUUCCGCAAUGGACGAAAGUCUGACGGAGCAACGCCGCGUGAGUGAUGAAGGUUUUCGGAUCGUAAAGCUCUGUUGCCAGGGAAGAAUGCUUGGGAGAGUAACUGCUCUCAAGGUGACGGUACCUGAGAAGAAAGCCCCGGCUAACUACGUGCCAGCAGCCGCGGUAAUACGUAGGGGGCAAGCGUUGUCCGGAAUUAUUGGGCGUAAAGCGCGCGCAGGCGGCUUGUAAGUCUGUUGUUUAAACUUGGGGCUCAACCCCAAGUCGCAAGGGAAACUGCAAAGCUUGAGUACAGAAGAGGAAAGUGGAAUUCCACGUGUAGCGGUGAAAUGCGUAUAGAUGUGGAGGAACACCAGUGGCGAAUGCGACUUUUCUGGGCUGUAACUGACGCUGAGGCGCGAAAGCGUGGUGGAGCAAACAGGAUUAUAUACCCUGGUAGUCCACGCCGUACACGAUGAAUGCUACGUGUUAGGGGUUUAAUACUCUUGGCGCCGAAGUUUACCUAUUAACUAUUCCGCCUGGGAGUACGGUCGCAAGACUGAUACUC